rnacentral:rRNA from 1 species
UACAGAGGGGGCGAGCGUUGUUCGGAGUUACUGGGCGUAAAGGGCGCGUAGGCGGCCCGCUAAGUCGAACGUGAAAUCCCCAGGCUCAACCUGGGAACUGCGUCCGAUACUGGCAGGCUUGAAUCCGGGAGAGGGAUGUGGAAUUCCAGGUGUAGCGGUGAAAUGCGUAGAUAUCUGGAGGAACACCGGUGGCGAAGGCGACAUCCUGGACCGGUAUUGACGCUGAGGCGCGAAAGCCAGGGGAGCAAACGGG